AGUUGAAGAGCUGUUGUGGGUAACUAUGACUACAGAACUCUCAGCAGAUGGGGAUGUUAAGACAUGAUUCAAUCUAAUUCAGGGCCCCUGAUACCCCUCAGGUCAAGGACAAAUCUACAGUUUUAUACAGCACAAUCACUGAAUGGAAUUCUUUACUAACUCACAUUUUUCAUGCAAAAAGUAAAUCCACCUUCAAGAAAACAAUAAAAGUACAUCUAAUGUGAUCGACCAUAUUACUGCACAGAGACUAGAGAGCAUCUACUGAAUGUUAAAUGUAUUACCUGUCAGGUAUUUGAAUUGUCUGUAAUGUCUAAUUGUUAAAUGUUUGUAACGUCUUAAUGACAAUUCUAAUUGUUUGUAAUGUCUUUUUAGUUCUGUGUUGGACCCCAGGAAGAUUAGCUGACGUUAUGGUGUCAACUAAUGGGGAUCCCAGAGUCAAAUUGAGGGUUGAUCUCUGAGGACAUGUUUUUGCCUUAGGAGAGGGUCAAACAAUGUGUACUAUUAGCUCUGGAUCAAGUCAGAGGGUUAUUGAAGCAGUUUACAAACGAUGAAUCAUAAUUGUUACUGCAGGCGUAUGCAAAAUCAUUUAGUUUAACAAUUUGGAAUGGACAGUUCUUGCAUUAUUGCAGACUAGGGCCACGUCCUCGGCUUUCCAAGUAUUGACCGCACUGCGGUUUUAUGGAUAACAAAUAAAACAGACAUUGGAGCUGACAGCCUUCAGCGGGACUCCACUUCUUAUUUAUCACCUACAAGUUCUCCAGAAGGGCCACACUUUAGUCCAGAAUCCAGUUCUGUAUGUAUGCACACAGCCAGUCCUAAUUCACCCCUUCUUCUUGGACUCUAACCCGCUAAUGUCUGCAGAUAUGUAAGGUGGAAGCAAUAUGGUGGAAGCUUCACCACUACACUGCUUAUACCUAUCCAUACACUACAGCUCUGCUAACGUUAAAGGGUUGGGUCCAAGGGGGAGGGGUAGGGAGCGAAUUGGGGCCAGCUGACCCAGUUGGCGUGUGUUGUUGAUGUUACGGACUACCUGUCUGCUGAGAUCUCCGCCCCCAAGCAGAAGAAGUUCAUCCUGGUGACGUUCGUGGACAUUCCGGGCCUGUUGAACGGGGACAUGGCCUCCCUUUGAUGUCAGCUGCGCUAUAACCUCAUUUGGGGAGCAGGCGGACCUGGUUUUGUGUUCUUCGACCCCAUGGGCCAGGCGCUGUGCAAGCGCACGCUCAACAUCGUGAAGAAACUUAGCGAUAAGAUUGCGGACAAGCUGCGUUUCUACCUCAGCAAAGCAGACGAAGCCGGGAGGGAGAUGAACAGACAGGUAGGCCAGUUGAGAACAAGUUCUCAUUUACAACUGCAACCAGGCCAAGAUAAAGCAAAGCAGUGUGACAAAAACAACAACACAGAGUUACACAUGGGAUAAACAAAUGUACAGUCAAUAACACAAUAGAAAAAUCUGAAUACAGUGUGUGCAAAUUAAGUAAGGAGGUAAGGCAAUAAAUAGGCCAAUAGUGGCGAAGUAAUUACAGGCUUGUCUUGUGUGGCUUAGUCAUAAGACUGGGCUUACAGCUAAGAGCCAUUUGGGUGCGACCGCAGCAUGUGACAUCCCAUGGGUUUACUAUCUACAGGAAGUCACAUGUAUGGAAACUUGCAGAAAGGAGCACAUGAUAUUGUUUUCUGUUGUGAAUACAGUUAGACGGUUGAGCCCUCUGGCUAUCAACUUCAUGCUAUCUUAAAUCUGCACAGACAACUAAUUGCCUUUUACACACUAUCUGCUGACUGGCACGUAUACAAAAAGGAUGUACUUCUCUAUAAAAGCUGAGAACCGACACUGUUCGUUGGGCCUGAACUGCCCAACUGUUGAAGUGCAUAGUUAACUGCUCAAAUUUUUGCUAAUCUUAUAAUAAAGUGUUGUUUGAAAGAAUCUGCAACCUCUCUUCCUUUUGGUUAGAAUUUCCACAACAAUUGGCGACGAGGAUGGGAUGCUAACUCCGCUUACUGAUCGUUCCCGAGGAGACCGAGGUUAAUUGCGCACAGUAGAUGCGGCUCAGGGUAACCACACUCAGAUUAAGCACAGCAGAAAGGGACCCGCCUCGGACUGGCAGGGAGCGUCAGUGAGUGGAUACAGUGGUUCCUCCUUUAAAAGUUGCGAGCUUAUACCGCGUGACUUAGAGGUACCCAGCAUCAUGGCGUCAUUGCUCCAGACCACCACAAGGGGGAGUUACAGCACUCAUUAUGCAUUUGGGUCCCAAUGUUUUUAUAUGACCAAUCAUAUAGAGUGGUUCCAAUGACG
rnacentral:lncRNA from 1 species